rnacentral:rRNA from 1 species
GAUUAGCUUGCUAUAGUUGUCAGCUAAGUGGCGCACGGGUGAGUAAUGUAUAGAUAACCUGCCCUCUAGAAAGGAAUAACAGUUGGAAACGACUGCUAAUGCCCUAUAUGCCUUUAAUACAUAAGUAUGCAAGGGAAACGCUUUAGUGCUAGAGGAUGGGUCUGUAUGGUAUCAGUUAGUUGGUGAGGUAAUGGCUCACCAAGACUAUGACGCCUAACUGGUUUGAGAGGAUGAUCAGUCACACUGGAACUGAGACACGGUCCAGACUCCUACGGGAGGCAGCAGUGGGGAAUAUUGCACAAUGGACGAAAGUCUGAUGCAGCAACGCCGCGUGGAGGAUGACACAUUUCGGUGCGUAAACUCCUUUUAUAUAGGAAGAUAAUGACGGUACUAUAUGAAUAAGCACCGGCUAACUCCGUGCCAGCAGCCGCGGUAAUACGGAGGGUGCAAGCGUUACUCGGAAUCACUGGGCGUAAAGAGCGUGUAGGCGGGUAUAUAAGUCAGAAGUGAAAUCCAAUAGCUUAACUAUUGAACUGCUUUUGAAACUGUAUACCUAGAAUGUGGGAGAGGUAG